rnacentral:misc_RNA from 1 species
UGACUAUUAUGAACAGCUUGAUGAGAUAUGUUAAUUGAUGGAUUUAUAAGGUGGUCCUAAUUAUGCUCCUUGUAGUUUAUUUGAUGAGUCAAAAUAUACGAAUAAUCUUACAAUAUACAAAGAAAACACUUGAAGAACGUAAGAAUGAAUACCAUGUUCGAAAAACUCAUCUACAAGUUAAAGAUAAAGGACUUGAAGAGUUUAAAGCAUGGAAAG